rnacentral:lncRNA from 1 species
UAUCGGGACCCCGAUCCUAAGCCAUAGGAAUCCAGCCUGUAACACAUCGCAUCCCUUUGUGGUCUCACGCACGGUUAACUCCACGGCUGCAGCCUUACCUUAGCCGGGACCGUUUGCGUCUUUUGACUCACGUAUGCGAUAGUGUCGCUAGCAAACCAAUGUCAAAGAACUCGGAUCGACAUGUCUAGUCAUAAACCAAAGUGGCAGUUCCGCACAAGGACAUGCAUACAUGACCCAACAAAGCAGGUGUCGGUCAUCAACCAACGUAGACGAGUCGUAGCAAGCUACAAGGACUCCAUUACGUCGCGUGACAUUUCCACAAAGGGGACAAACACAGCAGCUAAGAAGGACACAUGCCGGUCAACCAAUGUGUCCGGAGCAGUAGCGAACUACCAAGGCUCGUUGGAUCACAAAGGGGCAUUUCCUUGUAAGGAGUGCUACUAAAGCUCACGACUAGGUAUUCGAACCCCAUACAUAUCAAGUAAGACACACGUACGCAUGGCAUACCGAUAUGUAUAGAUACAUCGAUGGCAUCACAACAUAACCAUAAC